ensembl:lincRNA Gm29095 predicted gene 29095
AUGGUGGGACAGCCAAAUGAAAAGAAGGGAUUGAAGGACUCCAGUGGGGAACUCAAGGCGGACUCCAGGCAUGUAGAGGAACUUCUCCCUUAUAUGGAAGUUUGGGGAAAGUGCUUUAUAAGACUUUAACUCCGAGGACUGAUUCUGUGAACUGUGAGACACGGGGCAGCAGCUUCAGGAGCAGCUUAAGUUUAUAUAUUAAGGAGCAGGGUUCUUUUAGUUCAUCUGUGGAAGUCCAUGUGCAGAACACCAACAUUGGAUGAUUCUGGAAAGGAUCCUUUCUUAGAGAGUCCCAGCACAUUGGAGUUGGGUGUCUGAAGGAGAAAUCGUGUCAAACAUGAGCAAAGCAUAGCUGCGUAUGGUGACACACUUGGGACUUGGGGACAGGAGGAGAAGGACGUCAUCCUUGGCCACACAGAAAAUUUAACACUGGCCUGGACUAUAAGACUAUCUCGGGGAGUGGGGGUGGGUGGAUAUGGGGGACUUUUGGUAUAGCAUUGGAAAUGUAAAUGAGCUAAAUACCUAAUAAAAAAUGGAAAAAAAAAAAA